rnacentral:rRNA from 1 species
AGAGUUUGAUCCUGGCUCAGAACGAACGCUGGCGGCGUGGAUUAGGCAUGCAAGUCGAACGCGAAAGAGGGGGGUAACUCCCUCGAGUAGAGUGGCGAACGGGUGAGUAACACGUGAGAAACCUGCCUUCAGCAGGGGGAUAACACUCCCAACGGGGUGCUAAUACCGCAUGAGACCACGGGUCCGCAUGAACCUGAGGUCAAAGGUGGCCUCUGCUUGCAAGCUACCGGCUGAAGAUGGUCUCGCGUCCCAUUAGCUAGUUGGUGGGGUAAUGGCCCACCAAGGCAACGAUGGGUAGCUGGUCUGAGAGGAUGGUCAGCCACACUGGGACUGAGAUACGGCCCAGACUCCUACGGGAGGCAGCAGUCGAGAGGCUUUGGCAAUGGGGGAAACCCUGACCAAGCGACGCCGCGUGAGGGAUGAAGGCCCUUGGGUUGUAAACCUCUUUUGUCGGGGAAGAAACGCGAUCAGGUGAACAAUCUGGUCGUUUGACGGUACCCGGCGAAUAAGCUCCGGCUAACUCCGUGCCAGCAGCCGCGGUA